UGGGGAAUAUUGCACAAUGGGCGCAAGCCUGAUGCAGCCAUGCCGCGUGUGUGAAGAAGGCCUUCGGGUUGUAAAGCACUUUCAGCGAGGAGGAAGGUGGUGGACUUAAUACGUUCAUCAAUUGACGUUACUCGCAGAAGAAGCACCGGCUAACUCCGUGCCAGCAGCCGCGGUAAUACGGAGGGUGCAAGCGUUAAUCGGAAUUACUGGGCGUAAAGCGCACGCAGGCGGUUUGUUAAGUCAGAUGUGAAAUCCCCGGGCUCAACCUGGGAACUGCAUUUGAAACUGGCAAGCUAGAGUCUCGUAGAGGGGGGUAGAAUUCCAGGUGUAGCGGUGAAAUGCGUAGAGAUCUGGAGGAAUACCGGUGGCGAAGGCGGCCCCCUGGACGAAGACUGACGCUCAGGUGCGAAAAGCGUGGGGAGCAAAACAGGAUUAGAUACCCUGGUAGUCCACGCUGUAAAACGAUGUCGAUUUUGGAGGUUGUGCCCUUGAGGCGUGGCUUCCGGAGCUAACGCGUUAAAUCGACCGCCUGGGGAGUACGGCCGCAAGGUUAAAACU
rnacentral:rRNA from 1 species